rnacentral:rRNA from 1 species
CCAGACUCCUACGGGAGGCAGCAGUGGGGAAUAUUGGGCAAUGGGCGCAAGCCUGACCCAGCAACGCCGCGUGAAGGAAGAAGGCUUUCGGGUUGUAAACUUCUUUUCUCAGGGACGAAGCAAGUGACGGUACCUGACGAAUAAGCCACGGCUAACUACGUGCCAGCAGCCGCGGUAAUACGUAGGUGGCAAGCGUUAUCCGGAUUUACUGGGUGUAAAGGGAGCGUAGACGGCAGCGCAAGUCUGAAGUGAAAUCCCAUGGCUUAACCAUGGAACUGCUUUGGAAACUGUGCAGCUGGAGUGCAGGAGAGGUAAGCGGAAUUCCUAGUGUAGCGGUGAAAUGCGUAGAUAUUGCGCAGAACUCCGAUUGCGAAGGCAGCAUACCGGCGGCGAUCUGACGCUGAGGCACGAAAGCGUGGGUAUCGAACAGGAUUAGAUACCCCCGUAA